rnacentral:rRNA from 1 species
UACGAAGGGGGCUAGCGUUGCUCGGAAUUACUGGGCGUAAAGGGCGCGUAGGCGGCCACCGCAAGUCGAUUGUGAAAUCUCCGGGCUUAACCCGGAAAGGUCAACCGAUACUGCGGGGCUAGAGUGCAGAAGGGGCAACUGGAAUUCUCGGUGUAGCGGUGAAAUGCGUAGAUAUCGGGAGGAACACCUGCGGCGAAGGCGGGUUGCUGGGCCGACACUGACGCUGAUGCGCGAAAGCCAGGGGAGCGAACGGGG